AGUCUGAGCGAAGGAGGAGCUCUUCGUCCUCACCCGACAGCAACGUAUUUAUUUCUCUCUCUCUCUCUCUCUCUCUCUCUCUCUCUCUCUCUCUCUCUCUCUCUCUCUCUCUCUCUCUCUCUCUCUCUGUUUGUAAUAAACACAUCACACACACGCACCCGCUUGCACACGGAGACAGGGAGUGGUCGACUGAAUCCUGGACAUAGUUUUGGACUGAUAACUUCCUCUCCAAAUUCACUCUCCAGAGGAACAGGCAUGGCGGUUGCGGUGUGCCGGGAUCUGACAGUGCAGGUGCUGGAGGACGUGAACGCUGCCAAGCUGACGGACAGACAGCAGGCUCUGCGUGCUGCCAUCCAGAGAGGAGAGCCCAAAUGUCUGGGGGUGAGUCAGGUGAUGUUGGGGCUGAUGGUCAUGUCCUACUCCAUCCCUCUGCUCUUCACUGAGGUCACUGAGGUGGUGCUGCUGGGGGUCCCUUGGUGGAGCGGCCUGAUGUUCAUCACAGCAGGAGUGGUCACUAUCGUCCUGGACAAACACUGCACCAUGAAGAUCCUGCGAGUGUGUUUGGUGGUGACCAUGGUGUCCACUGUGCUGUCAGUGGUGGCUCUAAUCAUCUACUCUGUGGACAUGGGCAAGAAUCCUGCAGUGCCCUGUGUCAAAGAUCCGGAUGACAACUGCGAGCAGCACCUCGCCGCACGAGUUGAUGAAAUCGGAGAGUCAGGAUGCCUCCAGUGUUCGGCUGUGCACACUGUCUGUACCAUUGCCUACUCCAUUGUAGACUGAUAGACGAAUAAGUUCUAAAUUGCGGACCCACGAUGGAACUGUAAUGAACUGUAGUGCUGUAUGGUGAGUAGAUUACAAUGCCCUGGGCGGGCAGAGGUAUCUUCGCUGUCCACCUCUCUUCCUGCUGUUUGAGAGAAGCUCGGCCACCAGAGAGAGCAGACAGUUCAUCCAAACUCUGGACUUUAAUAAUCUAGCCCUGCCUGUUCAUAGUUCACUAUUCAACGUAAACAGUCACUCAGUGCGUUGGUCCAUUUAAUUCUUAAUACAUCCCAAAAAAAGAAUUAACAUUAAAGUUACACGGCUCACAUUUUCAAACACUUAGUGCGUGAUGACUGUAGACGUGCUGUGUGAUGUGUGUGAAGGCAAAGAGAACAGUCUUUACAGCAUAGAAGAAAAACAACACCACUUCAAAAACCACCUCUCAUUCUGGUUUGUUUCUUCGCAGCAAAUAUGGAAAACAUUGUUAAGGAUAAUAACUGAAAAUAAAAAUGAUUGUCCAAGUUAAAGUAUUAGAAAGUGCCAGUGAUGUGGUGUGGGUGUCAUCGCAUGAGGACAGUCUGAACUGGGGGGGUCAUAUCAAUGAAACACUGUGUUUCUUUCCAACAGCGGCUGGGCAGAGGACUGAAGACAUCCCUCCUCAUCUUCACCCUGGCCCAGACCGCCAUCUCGGCCGUCCUCUGCUUCCUGCUCUUCAGGCAGAGACACGGAUUCGGACAGUACUCUUCUCUCACUACUCCUGUACCAGCAACCUCCACAGCACUGAUCCCCCCCGAGCUGAACUGAUCAGUAAAUGGCCCCCCGUCUGUUCCAGAGGUGACUGAUCACCUGUGUGUUUGCUUCCACUGCGUCUAUGUGCUCAUACCCAUGACUUAUCCACAGAUCUGCCUGAUAUGUCAGCAGGAGACAUGUCCUCUGUCCGUUUUGUUAGGAAUGUAGAUUUGAUUAUUGCUACACGUCAGCCAAAUGAUUCAGAAGGCAAGGCAAGUUUAUUUGUAUAGCACCUUUCAAGACACAGCAAUUCAAAGUGCUUUACAAAAAAUAAAAGACUUAAAUGGCAUUUAAAAAGCAAAGAUAGUAAAAUAAACACAACAGGUAUACAAUACAUGAAUAAAAGCCAGACUGCAAUGUAACAUAUGAACAGCUCAAUCAAAACCAGCGGCAAAAAAAAAUGUUUUCAGCCUGGAAUUACAAGUAGUAAGAGUUUGUUCCAGAUAUUUGAAUCAUAAUAACUGAACGCUGCUUCUCCAUGUUUAGUUUUGACUCAGACAGAAAGUUUACCCGUUCCAGAAGACCUGAGAGUUCUGGAUGGUUCAUAAUGUAGCAGGAGAUCAGAAAUGUAUUUUGGGCCUAAACCAUUCAAUGCUUUAUAAACCAGCAGCAGAACUUUGAAAUCAAUUCUUUGACAGACAGGAAGCCAGUGUAAAGACCUCAGAACUGGAGUGAUGUGAUCCACUCUCUUAGUGUUAGUGAGGACAAGAGUCGCAGCGUUCUGAAUCAGCUGCAGCUUUCUAAUGAAUAGACCUGUAAAGACGCCAUUACAGUAGUCCAGUCUACUAAAGAUAAAAGCAUGGACAAGUUUUUCCAGAUCCUUAUUUGACAUGAGUCUAGAGAAUUUAAAUACUGGGCUGCUUUAAAAGCAAACAUUAGGGAAGAAAUAACCACUGUUUAACAUUAACAACAUUAAAGAAAGGAUAUCUCAUUCUGAUUUUCUCCUUUGAUAAAAGUAUUACAUCACACUUUUGUGGCCCAAAACUUUGACCAUGUAUCCUGGCACUGUCUGGAACAACGUCAGGAACAGCAUGCACAGUGCAGCCUGUGUACAAGAAGUGGUUGCCAUCUUCUAUGCGACAGAGAUAGAAAAAGCAGGAAACAUUACAAGUCUCCACUGUCCUAUCCGAUUAAAGGCAAAAAGCCCCCAAAAAAUAUCUUAAAAAAAACCAAAACAUUUAUCAUUGGAUAGAGUUUUUUACAAGCAUGCUCAUUAGUCAAGUGUUUUCUGAAGAGGACUUAUAAUAUGAUUUAAGGCACCUGUAGUAGCUAGUAAGUGGAUUGCAAAUUAGGCCAACUUAAAGAAUUAACUGUCAUACUUAAAAACUGAAUUGUCUUGUAUGUGGACUAGCAGUGGUCACGAUAAGGAAACAUCAGCUCUAUCCCACGCUGCACUCAACACUGAGCUCUGACUGGCUUUCUGAAUCUGAAGGUGUUCAUGGUGUCAUGGUGUUUUGGAACAGAUGGUGUGUAUUUUCACUUGCACUGCUUUUGUUUUUUAACACUAUUUACAAAGUGUCAAUCUUUGAUAUAUUUUUGUCUAUUUCCCACAAAAUUAUGUACAUAAAUAUAAAUAAAGUUGUGGCCCAGUGAGUUACAUUUUGUGAAACACA